UGUUUCUCCCCGGAGAAGGGGCCGUGCACAGUGAAACGCCUUUUGUGCGGCGCGGAACAAUGCCAAACAAGUGUUCUAGUACAGAGCCACUUUGUGUUCCCCUCGCCAGUGAAUAGAAAGGAGCCGUUGGUUCGUGAGCAGCUGGGACGCGCGGAGGGAGGUGGAGCCGCAGGCGCCCUCUCGCGUGCGCGCCCUCCGCCCCGCGCCCCGCGCCACCGGGAGCCCCGGCCCGACCCGGCCGAGGUUCGGCCCCAAGGCGGCGACACAGCACUCCGCCCGCGGCGCGCUCUCGGCGCGGGGCCGACUCCAGCUUUGUCUCGCGAGGGGACCCCUCGGCCGUGGGCCGCGCCGGGCCUCCCGGCGGCGCCGGCUGCUUCUCUUCGCGCCGCGACAGGCCCCCCCCCCACCGGACCAGACCAGACCAGACCAGACCAGAGGCGGCGUCUGGACGAGAGCGGCGGGCGGACGGAGCUUGCAGUGCUCGCAGCUGCUGUUUCCAGGAUGUCCUUCUCUGUCAGGCUGCAAUCUCCAGGACAAAAAGCCCACAGGACUUUUGCUCAGUGGAGCUCAGUCUGCAGAAACACUCUGUCAUUUGCAGCUGUUUCCUUGCCGCCGGGUUAGCUCUGGAGUCCCCAAAGAGUCAGAUGGGAUGAGAAGACUCGCUGUUCCCCAGGCACCUGGGAACUGCUGCCAGGGGACAAUAAAGCAGGUCUGGGGUGCAGGUAGCUGGUGCAGCCCUGUUUCCUCCCGUCUCCACCCCUCUCCUGGCCUCUGAGCUUGGCAACAAAUUAGAACACCUGAGAUCCCAGCCAAGCUGGUGGGCAUGGCCAAGGUCACCGGAUGUCGGCGAUGCCAGCGGGGCCCAGAGCCCAGAGUCGCGGGAAUCCUGGGCCUUUGUAUUCCCUGCUGGGGUGGGGAGGCAGCCUGGCUGCUGGGCGAGGCAUCCACACAGGCUGCUCUCCUCCGCAGGAAGCCCGAGAACAUUCGUGUUACUCCCUCAGAGACUGUCACCCCCGAAUUCUUCCCAGAUUUCCAUCUGGGAGAUGCCCAGUGUGUCCACGGAAUGCCAGCAUGUGCAGCUCUCAGCCAGCACUGUGCCCGUGCCACGCGGAUUAGCGGCCCUCAGCCCGCACUGGGCCGGUACUUUCCCA
ensembl:lncRNA